AACGCGAAGAACCUUACCAGGUCUUGACAUCCUCUGACAAUCCUAGAGAUAGGACGUCCCCUUCGGGGGCAGAGUGACAGGUGGUGCAUGGUUGUCGUCAGCUCGUGUCGUGAGAUGUUGGGUUAAGUCCCGCAACGAGCGCAACCCUUGAUCUUAGUUGCCAGCAUUCAGUUGGGCACUCUAAGGUGACUGCCGGUGACAAACCGGAGGAAGGUGGGGAUGACGUCAAAUCAUCAUGCCCCUUAUGACCUGGGCUACACACGUGCUACAAUGGACAGAACAAAGGGCAGCGAAACCGCGAGGUUAAGCCAAUCCCACAAAUCUGUUCUCAGUUCGGAUCGCAGUCUGCAACUCGACUGCGUGAAGCUGGAAUCGCUAGUAAUCGCGGAUCAGCAUGCCGCGGUGAAUACGUUCCCGGGUCUUGUACACACCG
rnacentral:rRNA from 1 species